AAGAUGCUUAUAAGCACAUAUUGGGAUUUCCAAAAAUGUCUAGCCCCCUAAUUUCUGGAGUAAGGUGCAUGGUCACUUUUGAAAUUCCCACUAGGUGCUUCUCCGCAUUUAGGCACCUAAAACUUUGAAAAUCUGGCACUAAAUCUUUGGGGAUCGGCUGGAAAACCUUCUGGAAUCCAGGGAAUUGAAAGCUCUAUAACAAAAUAAAUUGGCUGAGAAGAUGUUGAGAGUAAGAGAAUCUAAGAAUGGACUUGUCUCUCUCCUUUCACUUUCAGGAUGAGGGUCUGUGAGAUGGAACAUCAGAAGGGAAAACCAUGCCCCCAACAAGCAAGACACCAAGUGUGUGUAUCUGAAAAUGGCUAGACAGGAAGUACUGGGUGAAGACACCAUCUUAUAACUGAGUUAUCCCCUAUUCCACAUCUGAUCUGAAGCUUGUAAUGGGUUCCCCUCUCAAGUGUUGUGAGGACCAGCACACUGGGUCAGUUUGUUCAAACCAGUAUGUUAGGCACAGAAUCAGCAGAUCUCCAAAGAUCUCCAAAGACUCUAAAAAGUGUAGACUGCAGUACCAGACUCCAAUGACCCGGGCAGAUCUACGGGCUUCAGUGUUCCGGAGCCACUAGACAAGGGACUUGCCUGUGUCAACGUUGUUGGAUCAUCAUGCUGGUUGUAUCCAAGGCAGUUGGAACCCUCCUUGGCAGUACUGCAUUGGCAGUCCCUCAGGCCUGACUGCCUGAUCAAGGCUUUGUGGCUGUGGCUCCAUGGUCUGCUGCAGGAUUUGGGUUUUGUGGCCCCAGAUCCAGGUCUAGCUGCCAGAUCCAAAUUUUGCGGCCCCGUAUCCUUUGAGAGACAGAUCCAGAGACCAGAGCAACUUCGGUCACAUGGCCAGGCCUCCUAGGUCAACCUGAACUAAUCCAGGGACCUUGAUGGUGAGUUGAUCCUUAAAUGAAUCCUGGUCUCACAGAUGACCAGACUUAAACCAACUGGAUCUGAGAGGUGUGCAAGGGGUUUGCGAGGUAGCCCUCCCACUUCUGAGGGUCCAGACAAAGCCCAUGCUGGAUAGGCAUCUACUUUUCUUUUCUUUCCCUAUAGGAAAUCAGACUAAGUAACAAUUGAUCUAUUAUAAACAGCAUUUGCCUCUGAAGGGCAGAGAGAGAGAACAAUGAUGACAGAAGCAUUGAGGAUUUUGCGCAUGGUUGAUCCAAGCUCGCUGCACUUUCUUCAGUAGGAAGGAGCUCAACAGCAGUUGGGCUGCACCCCCUUUACAACCUCUGAACGCUCUGGUAUGAGAGGGAAGAGAAGGGUGAGCGACCUCUGCAGACUCUGCCUUCCAGAACUUUACGGUACUUCCCAGCACACAGGCCUCGAUCCUACAGUGGGAAGAUGCAGAAGCCACUCAUAGAAUGACUGUUAAAGUGAUGUCUUUGACAUUUAAUACAUCAAAUUCAUUUGCCAUCACAGGACGCUUCUGUUAUUGGUCCCACAAACCAUGAUAUUCUUCACAGUUUACAAUUUCACUUACCAGUAGUUGUCAUGUUUGGAGGAUAUUUGAAAGAAGCUGGAAAAGAACAGAUGAUAAGUGAAUUAUUUGGGACAAUAACCCGCUGUGUCUUGUCCUGUUCUACUGGCUGCAAUACCUCCACAGCUCACCCACAGUGCAGGACAAGCCUGGGCCAACGAACCUUUGUGGACUGUUCCAAAAGGAAAUAUUUUUGUGAUGAACUUAUGGUUGAAGUUCUGGAGACAGCCAACAAGUAGAUCCAACACCAAAACCAGAUGAACUUGUGGCUAGAGGAAAGGUAUGGUGAAACACAAGAGGAAAGGCUCAGACUGGCUUCACACCUCGAGGACAAGGUUUCAGCACAGGAACAGAUAUUUAAUUCACAGUUCCAGGAACAGGAAUGGCUGCUAAGGGAGGAGGAUAGAGCUCAGCAGAUAGAACUGUUCCUUUGCCCCAUGCAGCCCUCCAUAUUUAUCCCCUUCCUGUGGAUGCUUCCACCCCCUCCAGUAAUUUCAUAAGUGGUCAUGUCAUUGCAUGGCACUAAAACUCCACCCCUAUCCCCAAGUACCCCCAUCCCUCCUGGCAAUCAUUAAUCCCCUGUACCACCUAUCCCAACAAGAGCAUUCAUAAAGGUACUAUUCCUCCUCUCCCAUUGGGUCAUGCAAAUCCAUAAUGUGGGUGCACCAAGCAUCCCUGACUCCUGUUGCCUGGGUGCAUCCACCUCCAGCAGUUAUAACUCCACUUUCUGGCUGAGCAUACCCAUUCAACAGCUCCUCGUUGUUAUAGGUCCAUUCUGGGGGAAAUGGCUCACCUUUGGCUUCACAAAGAUUGUGGAGAGCACAGCAAAUCACAAUAAUGCAGACAGCAUUGAUGACAACGGAAUCCAAACAGUUCUGUAGACCUCUCCAAUAGGAUUUUAAUCUGCCAAAAGCACAUUAGCAACCAUUCCACACCUGCUGAGAGUGUAAUUAAACCUUCUUUUGCCUGGGCCUCUGAAAUCAGGGUUCAGUUCCAUUGGCCAAGGCAAAAGUGUGUAUGCAGGUUCCCCCAGAAUAACAGUGGGGGACAGUAACUCUAUUUAUGACAAUGUCAUUUUGUGGGAAUAAUGUCCCAGCUUGUCCAUGAACGUAGACUCCCAACUGGUGAUAAACUCUGGCAUUGUGAACUAUCAUAGUACAACCCACAUUGACAUUCAUAAAUGAUCUUCUAUGGUCAAUAAGGACUUGCAUAACAAUGGAGUUGUUGGCAAUUUAUGUACUCACGUGUCCUUGAGGAGGACAAACUAUGUGCACAUAAGUCCCAUCAAUGGCACCAAGUGCAGUUUGGAAACCCCAUUCUCCCAAACCCAGAAAUUAUUUCUCUAACAUCUUUUAUGCCAGCCACUUUGGGGUGAACCACACUCCUGAUUGUCUCAGAAAACUCCAUCACCACUUUACCCACAGUUGAGUUUCCAACCCCAAGCUGAUUUGCACCAGACCUCUAGCAGUCUGAGGUAGCCAGCUUCCAGACAGCUAUAGCAACCUGCUUCUGUACUGGCAAGACUGACAUUGUGUGUUUGUCUUUAUGCUGGAGGGUCAGGGUAAGCUACUCACAAAGGUCCAGAAGUGUGGCUUUCUUCAGGCAGAAGUUCGGGAUCCACUCCUAGUCAUCCCAGGUCUACAAGACAAUGUGAUUCUACCAGUCUGUGCUUGUGAGUCUGUGCUCGUGGCCUUGCACCAGAAGCACCAGUUUAUGCAGGGGACUCAGUGGCUGAACUGAGUGUCAAGAGAAGCAUCAGCCACUUUCAGUUUGCCAGGUGAGGGUAUGCCUCCUGCUCCUGCUCCAUCAUAAACUGUGUCAGGUGUCUUUGGUGGGUCAGAAAAUUCUGCCAAAAUGUCCACCACCAUCUCAUGGAAGUGCUGCCUGUUUCCUGACACAGGAGUGAGAAGUUAAUUAAAAGGUGCUCCUCCAUGUUGCUGGCUCUGGUAGCUGGAAACACACAGACCAAAAUGACCACUCAGCAGGCUGUGUUGGUGGGUUGUUUAAACUUCCUGAAACAUACAGGCUAAGCAGUAGUAAAGUUUUCCAACAGUGCGCUACUGUCAAAGGACUUGAGGGACCACAUUUCCAGCAGGUCCUAGGGAGUCUGGGAUAUGGCUGGUUUGACUCAGGUCUCUGUACUGCAGUGUGGAUGCCAAAGCCCCAUGUUCAAGCCUGGUUAGAAAAUUCUUAAUGUAGAGUUAAUCAGUGUAAAUGUUCUAAUCCAAAAUCAGCUGACUCAAGCCCCACUAAUCCAGGGCUUACAUAACAGUGUAGACAUACCAUACUCAUAUUGUCUUUUUAGGACAUAGCUGUAUUCAUAUUUCUGUGAAGAACAGACCACAGACUAUUAGAACCAGAUUAAUCCAGUAAAAAUCUGUUCUCUAACUUUGGUUUCUAAUUCAGGGAAUUGUUUGAUUUAGCCAGUUCUCAACUGCUUGUUCUUUUUGUUGGUACAUGAAAGUGUAAUACACUCUGCAAGGAGAUCCACUGGCAGAAUCUUACCUUUAGGCUUUGUCUACACUGGGGAAAUGAGGUGUGUUAACAAAUGUGUUCACUGUUAUGCUUCAGUUAACACCUUUUAAACAUCACAAAGCACCUAGUGUACACAAAGACAGUUGUGUUGACAUUAGUGUGACAAUAUGUGACACUUCAGUAAUGAUAGUCUAGAUGUGUGAACUGAUGAACAUUAAUUAAUUCAAAUUAAAUUAAUUAAUUAAUUCUAAAAUUAAUCCUAAAAUAUUUUCCUAGUGUUUACAAUCCAACACUGAUGGAGCUAAGUUCUCUGAAAAACAAACCUCUCAUUUGUCCUCAUUAUUUACAAAAGUGAGUUUUUUUCUAUAAACUGGAGUUGUGCCAGUUGGAAGCAACAGAGGAGGAGAAAGACCUGGGUGUAUUAGUUGAUCACAGGAUGACUAUGAGCCACAAAUGUGAUGCAGCUGUGAAAAAGGCUAAUGGAAUCCUAGGAUGCAUCAGAGAAGAUAUUUCCAGGAGCAAUGAGAAACUGUUAUUAUCAUUGUGCAAGGACCUGGUGAGACCUCAUCUGGAAUAAUGUGUGCAAUUUUGGUCUCCCAAGUUUGAGAACAUUUAAUUCAAACUGGAACACGUGCAGAGAAGGGCUACGAGGGUGAAUAGAGGAAUGGAAAACCUACCUUAUGAGAGGAGACUCAAGGAGUUUAACUUAUUUUUCCUAACCAAACAAAGGCUGAGGGAAGACAUGACUGCUGUCUAUAAAUACAUCAGAGGGAUAAAUACCAGGGAAGCAGAGGAGUUAUUUCCCUGACACUAAUAUUGACAAAAGAACAAAUGGAUAUAAACUGGCCAUCAACAAGUUCGGUAUUGAAAUUACAUGAAGGUUUCUAACAAUCAGAGAAGUGAAGUUCUGGAAUGACCUUCCAAAGGGAGAAGUGGGGGCAAAACACCUAACUGGUUUCAAGACUGAGCUUGAAAAGUUUAUGGAGGGGAUAGUAUGACAAGUUUGCAUACUAUAGCAUGUGGCUCAGCUGCAACUGCUAGUAGUAAAUACUCCAAUGACCUCAAAGGGGGAUACUAAAUAGGGAGGGCCCAGAGUUACUUCAGAUAAUUCUUUCCCAGGUGUCUGGCUGGUAGGUCUCACCCAUAUGAUCAGGGUGUAAUUGAUUGCCAUAAUUGGAGUUAGGAAGGAAUUUUCUACCAGAUGAGGUGGCAGAGACCCUAAGGGACAGGGGGGAGUUCAUUUUCCUCUGCAGUUUGGAGUAUGGGUCCCUUGCAGGUAUAAACUAGAGUAAAGGGUGGAUUCUCUAUUACUACAAUGCUCGUUCUAAUUAGUGGAAAUACUUUAACUGAGUUAAGUAAGCAUUCUGUCAGGCACAUAGGGAAACUAUGUCCAUGAAUUUUGGGAUUUCACUCUAAAUGAACCAAUGCACACAGGCAUUCUUAACUUUGGCAGUUCCCUGAUUCCUGAGCAUAUUACCAUGCCAUCUCAUGUAACCCACAAUAACUGUCUGUUAUUGUGGGUUACAUGGGUAUUAUCUGUCUCAUUUUCUCCAGAUAAUACCCAAACCAGAUAGAGAGAUUUAUGAGUCUGCUAUAGACUUCAAGUUGAUUGUUGUAGUGCUUUAUCUGAGACAGUAAUGAAUCCUGCCUUUAGAUACAGGGAGCCUGGGUUCGGUCCCCACAGAUUGCCUUAGGUCAUGUCUAUGCUACAAAAUUAAGUUGACCUAACUUACAUCAGCAUAUGGCCAUUGUGAUAAUUACAUCACUUGUGCAUUUCUAUAUUUUGCUCCUUGGGUUGAUGGUUUGCGUCCGCAGGAGGUGCACUUGUAUUGAUUGCAUAGUCAGUGUUGGAUGGCUUCUGAGGGCCAGUAACAGUUGAGGUAAGCAACGCAGUGUCUACGCUAACACUUCAUUGACCUAACUAUAUGGAUAUUGAUUACGCUUCUUGUGGAAGUGGAGUUAUUAAAUUGGUGGGGCAGUGCCUUUGGUGGGAGCAAAAUUUUAGUGCAGAGACUUACAGUAAGGUUGAUGUAAGCUGCCUUGUGUUGACCUAACUGUGUUGUGUAGACCAGGUCUCUGAAAUGGCAUCAUUACAAUUGAGCAUCAAUGUGGGGAACUGAAUUUCUGUGGAACACUGAAGCCCAGGUUGAGCUACUCUAACCAGUAGAAGUAUGUACAUAAUCCAUGCUGAAGCAGCAUGGCUUUCUGUCCCCUUACAUUAACUACAUUGUGUACAAAGUUAUAAGAAUGGUACUGCCUCCAAGCACAGUAACUUGCACCUUGAGUCAUUGUAGUCUAUGCUUCCGAUCUAGAAGUCUGGGAUUCAGCCCCCCUCAAGGGGCAUUGUUAUACUUAGCAUUCAUUUAACAUAGAUUUUGCAUGAAAUAAAAUUAAAAUGUCAGCAGUUUAAGCUGGGAAAAUACUUUAAAGAAUUAUAUGACUAUUCACUUCAAUCUUUAAAUUAAUGCAAAGCACAAAAUAUGCAAGGUGUUCACCCAGAAGUAAAUCAUGCUAGCUGUAUUAUAUCGCUGUGUUAUUAAAUCUUUGGGUUUUAUUGUGUGAAUGUGAGAAGUUUAAACUAGUAUAUGCAGAAAGGAAUUCUAAGCUGUGAAACUAUCCAUUAAUGCAUGAAGCAGCCUAUACACCCAUGUUUAUCUACUGUACAAUGGUCUGUGCAAACAGCUUUGUAAAGUACCUACAGAUCUGAUAUUUUCCUUUCAUUUUCACUGAUAGCCUUGGGCUAUCACAGAGGAUUUAUUUAUGAAUUCUUAGUCACCAGUUAAAGUUCUUCCACAUUCUUUCAUAUUAAUAUAUAAAAAAAGAAUUAUUCUAUAUAAUUUCCUCAUACAUGGCUGGAUCCAUUCCUCAUCCUAAUUAGUAGAAAUACUUUCACUGACCUCAGGAGGUAUUGUAUCAGGCAUAUGGAAACUUAAAUUGUCAAAUAGAUUUUGUGGGCAUGGGGAAAUUUUAUUUCUCUUAACUGCUUAUUUUUGCAAAUGUAUCUCUGGCAAAGCUGAAAUAAUUUGAAGAACAAAAUGCUUGGGGAAAGAAAUGUCACUUGUCUGUUUGUAAAGCAUUCCCCUGAAUCUGCAGGCAAACCAGUGUCAUAGGAGUCAGGUUAGCAGUGUUAGUGGCUGAAAAGGGGAAUGUGAGAAUCAGUAUAAUGUCAAUUAAAGUGACGAGUUUUGUGUUGAACAGAUUAAUGUUAGGGUCACCUAUAACGGAGAUGAUAUUUGUCACAGUUCAGGGCAAUGACAUCAGUAUUCUCCCACAUGGUCCACCAAGGACACCCACUUUCAGGCUCCCAGCUCCAUACCUAUCACCUCUCUUGGGUGGAAACAUGCCUCUGACUCCCUCCAGAAUGGGUUUUUUCCAAGCUGCACAGUUCCCUGCCUUCAGUGUGAUAUCCCCAGCAAGCCAGACUGCUUAAGGAGGCCACUGUCUGUGUUUUGCUUUGUCUUUAUGGGGUAUAAAAAGUAUAAUUUGGAAAUCUGACCCUAGUGAAGCAAAUAAACAGCAGCUUAAAUUACAUCAGCCAAUAAGUAAGAAGGCUUUUAGAAGGGUCAAAAUGGAUUUGAGGAGCAAAUUACAAAAGGUGACAUAACAAAUAAGAUUCUUUAAGUCUUUCAGAUGUGGGUCAUUUGCAAAAUAAUUGUUGGGUCUUCUGGAUCAGCCAGGGGUAAAAUGAACAAUUAAAGGAGGAUAAGGACAUUGCAGAGAAGCUAAAGGAUUUCUUUGAAUCCAACUUCAUGAUAGGAGAGAGCCCUACACCAGCUCUACCACUUUCUGGCAAUAAACAUGAGGUACUCUCUGAGAUAGAGGUUUCAGAAGAAGUAGAGAUGCUUGAACAAAUUCAUAAUUUCAGUUCCAGUGAGUUCAGGGAUGGGCCCAGAUGGGCCAUCCAAUAUUUACGAAGGAGAUUAUGUUUGAUAUGGUUGAACUGCUAUUAAAAAUAUCCAAUCCCUCACUACAAACAGCUACUGUUUCAGUAGACUGAAGGGUGGCAAAUGUUGUACCUAUAUAUGUAUAUAAAAGGCUCUAGCAGUGUAUGGGGAAUGAGAGAGAAGAAAACAUUAGAUCUGCAUCUGGCAAAUUGGUGGAAGCAAUUAAAAUAUAUAAUAAAAAAACACCUGGAAGAUCAUGGACUGAUAGGAUCUAACCAGCACAGAUUCUGUAAAAGAAAAUUGUGUCUCACUAAUCUCUUUGAAUGUGUCAAGAAAUUAGUGGAUAAGAAGUGUUUACAAUAAACAAAAUGUAUUUAGACUUCCAAAAGUCUUUUCUCCAAGGUUCCUCAUUAGAGGCUACUACAGAAAUUAUUUAGUCAUGGGGCAGAAGCAAAGUAUCAUCGAGGAUCAAAACCUGGCUAGGAGAGAGAAAGUAAAAAGUAGGUCCAUGUUUCCUAAUGGCAAAAAGUUGAGAGUGGGAUAAUCAAGCUUCUGUAAUUGAUCAAGUGUAGUUUAACAUGUUCACUAAUUAUCUGGAAAGUGGGGUGAAUAGUAAAGUAACAAUAGUUGCUGAUGACACAAAGUUAUUUAGAUUAACCAGGAACAAAAAGAACUGUGAGGAAUUUCAGAGAUAAUGAAACAAGCUGGGUGAAAUGGGAAACAUGAUGGCAAAUAAAGUUCAGUGUUGAUAAAUGCAAAGCAAUACACAAAGAGAAGGGACUGUGUUACCUUGAAAGUGUAUGUUAUGAGAUGUUGUUAUAGGAUAAAGGUUGUUAUUUUACAAUGGGGUAUGUUGCUGGGUGAAGAUCAAAAGAACUAUAUGCCAUUGGGUGCCCAGAGACACAGAGACAGGGACUGCCGGACAGAAGCUCUACCCAGGCGGCUUGUUUGGAACUUUAAUGUUAAGGUUAUUGUGUGGCUCCUGAAGACAGAGGGAGAAGUAUUGCAGAGUGCACUGGGGAGCUAGGUUGUGAUCAGGAAGAAAAGCACUGGCUGAAUUUUAUCAGAUUAGAUUUCCCUAGAUUUCCCUAGUUGAAUAAGGCACUCAAAAGUUAAGUCAACCCAGUUACAUCACUCAGAAGUAUAAAAAAUCCACAUCCCUGAGCUACUUAGGUAAACCAACCUAAUCCCUAGUGUAGACAGGGAUGGAUUCUUCCAUUGACCUAACUACUGCCUCUCAGGGAGGUGGAUUAACUAAGCCAACAGGCGCUGACCCACUGUAGGGUUUCCAGUAUAGACAAGCCCCGGAGAAGAAGAAGUGUUACUGAUUGCUAUUGUUAAGGUUGUGUUAUGUUUAGUCUGGUUCAUUAAAAGCUUAGAGUCUUUUCAAACACAGGAGAUGGAGGAGUAGUCAAUCAUUCAGUGGAGGGUUGUAAGAGAUCUGCAGGGCCAUUGGAGCAGAGUAUGGAAAAGCAGUCAGGAUCUCCUGAUAUUCACAGGCAAGUGUCCUCAGAGGAAUAGCAACCCAGAGACACUAGUGUGGAACAAGGUGCGUGUCCAAGAAGGGUCUGGUUGUGAUGAAUUUGUACACUUUACAAGGGUGUAAAUAAAUUGUAUCAGUUCAAGACAGGGACCUGUACAUCACUGCAGGUGGCUAAAUAAAGACCUUUGCUCAAUGUGCAAGACAACUAUAUUGGAAUGACAUCCCCAAGUAUGAGCCAUUAACAAAUGAGCUAUUGCAAAAUGCCUGAUUAAAAGCAGUAAAAUGGUCUGUACUUACACAUUCACUUUGAAUGGAAUCUUAUCCUCUAGCUCCUUCUAAAACCUGCAGCAAUAUCCAGUUAAUAGAUAAUGUGAGAAAACUGCGGAGAAAGAGAUCUUAUAAAAUGUGAGCAGUAGCAUGUGGGUGGAAUUUAAGCAAGCAGAGAUGUUCAAGACAAAAAGGAGGAAAUUCUGUUCUUGUUUACACUGAUGUA